UUCACGAUCACGGGGCAAUACCAGACGCUCCAGAAACCGAAACUUUGCGUUACACUGCCUAUAGGCAAUGGACAGCAUGGAUACAUGGAAAGCUUGGCAAGAAAUAUCGACUUCCUAUACCAUCCUGUGCUGUUAAAGAAAUAAGGAAAGCAUUUCUUUCACCUUCUGGCAUAUAUAAAGGCUUUGAAUAUGCACAGCAUUUAUAAAUACCUCUUGCAUUGCCUUGUAAAAGAAAUGUGUAUGCUUUGGUGCAUAUAGUAUAACAACUCGAUGAAAACCUUCAAGAGCUGAUGUUUGUUUCUCAUGGCUGAGCUUCCCAAUAUCUUUCAUGAGAUACCUGCUUUCAACAAUCGAUGCCAAUUCAGUAAAUGCUCUAGAUCCUUGGAAAAAAGAUAGAAAAUUUUAUGGUGCCCAUUUAUGUCAUAUGUUGACAAAUAACACCACAUUGUGGCAUUGGCUGGCAAUUGAAGUUUGUUGAUAAAGAAAGUAUCAAUUACUGUAAAUAACUAUUAUGUCUUAUACCAGAGCAUUUAGGAUUAAUUUGUACCUUUCUUUAUCCAUAAGCGAGGCUCAAGAGUACCAUGCUCACAUUUUGGAAAUAAUUCGCUAUGACCAUCAUGAAUGUUGCAAAUGUGAUUCAGCAAUGAUAGCCA